GCGGGCGGAUGGGUAGAAGAAGGAGGCUCCCAGAGCCUCCUGAGGCCCCCUCCCCUCCCCCAGCCAGGCACAGCCUGAGAAACGUUGACGGGUGACGGCACAGCUGCCAAACCGAUUUUUUCUCUCUCUUCGCCUGAGCCGCCUCUCGGAACUCUCUGUAGGCGCAAGAUGCGGCUGGUCUGGGAUAACUGCGCUGUGCGCAAUGCUUCAGGGGAGCGUUAACAUGAAACUGCAGGCUAAGGAGUCGCCUAGUAAAAUAAAAGGCUCGGGAAAAGCCUAAGAGAGCACUGAUGGGCCCUGGGAAGCCCCAGGGAUGCUACAGAAAAGAGCCUGGCUUUUUUCAGGCACCUCCUCAGAGCAGAGAAAUGGCUUACCCCGGCCUGCGGGAGAAUGGGUGCUAUUAAUAACAGCCUUUCCUUACCACGGGCAUUGCGAAAGCAGAAGGGACUAGAGAGGAUGCGUAGCAGGUUAUGGACUCUCUGCAAAGUUUAAGCGAACAACAGUCCCCUCUUAAAGUAGAACCGGUUUUGUCCUAAGUAAUAGAUGAACGUGGCUGUGAGUAACGUGAAGAGAAGCGGUUGCGUCUGUCACCCUCGGGGCCUCGGGGAAGUAGCGUCUAAAACCCGGUACCCUCGUGGCCUCGUCAGCCUUCUCGGUCUGUCUGGCAGGGUAGUCCCCGGAAGGGGGCAUCUCCAAGAGAAGCGGCUAGACCCAGCGACCCAGCCGUUCGCUUUGGUCGCCGCCUGUGAGGCGAGCAUCCGAGCGCAACGGGAGUCCGUAUCAAAAAGAGCUGGAACCAACGACAGCAAAUGCUGACGGAGAGGGAAGCCGGACGAGCGGCAUGUAGGGGAUUAAUACCUAAGGGACGGGGUUGAAACGAGGAGGCAGAAACGCAGCGGACCCUCGGUAUCCCCGGCAGCUGCCACGGUAGCGGCAGGUGUUCCGCCACGGGCAAGUCAAGCAGGGAACGACGACGGGCUGUCGUGAAGAACUACAGGCUGCCGCCCUCCGACCUCGGCAGGUGAUGCGACGAGAGCAGCCGGGAGAAUCCGAAUGCCGGUUUUGGCAGGUUCUCUGCCUGGUGCUGACGAGGAGCCUUUGACAGCAGGAAGGUUGGCAGCGUCCGUACCUGAACCGUGGAGUACACACCUGCUUCUAGUCUCAGUUGAAGGACGGGUCGCCUAGCUCAGCGUCUAACAAACCCCACAACCGGCGGCCCGGUCGCUAUGGCGCUGCUGUUGCUAGCAGAGCCACCAGGUCUGUGUGAAGCCUUAGGUGCCUGCUUGGAGCAGUAUUUUGGUCUGCUCACCUGGAAGAAGCAGCGAGGCCUAAAAUAAGACUUUGUUGCGGCUACAUGGAGCUGAGUGCCCUCCCUGAAGGCAAAAGCGGAAGGGGUAGGUCGUCGGCUACUCGGACACCUGCCGCGUCAAGGGCGGCAGCGGGAGCUGACCCUUCCCCGACGGACGGACGGACGCCGGUGAGGACUCUUUGGGUGUCACAAGGUAAGGGAAAGCGUGCCGGCGUCCAGCUCGGUGGCAGGCUCGCUCCCAGGUGGUGUUUCUGCACUGCAAAACAAUAAACGGUUGCUUUAAUUCUUUG